rnacentral:rRNA from 1 species
UACGUAGGAGGCAAGCGUUGUCCGGAAUUACUGGGCGUAAAGGGCGCGUAGGCGGUGCUCUAAGUCAGGCGUGAAAGCCCUGGGCUCAACCCGGGAAUUGCGCUUGAUACUGGAGCGCUUGAAUCCAGGAGAGGUUGGUGGAAUUCCCAGUGUAGAGGUGAAAUUCGUAGAGAUUGGGAAGAACACCGGUGGCGAAGGCGGCCAACUGGACUGGUAUUGACGCUGAGGCGCGAAAGCGUGGGGAGCAAACAGG